CUACGUGCCAGCAGCCGCGGUAAUACGGAAGGUCCAGGCGUUAUCCGGAUUUAUUGGGUUUAAAGGGAGCGUAGGCUGGAUAUUAAGUGUGUUGUGAAAUGUAGACGCUCAACGUCUGACUUGCAGCGCAUACUGGUUUCCUUGAGUACGCACAACGUUGGCGGAAUUCGUCGUGUAGCGGUGAAAUGCUUAGAUAUGACGAAGAACUCCGAUUGCGAAGGCAGCUGACGGGAGCGCAACUGACGCUUAAGCUCGAAGGUGCGGGUAUCAAACAGGAUUAGAUACCCUGGUAGUCCGCACAGUAAACGAUGGAUGCCCGCUGUUGGUACCUGGUAUCAGCGGCUAAGCGAAAGCAUUAAGCAUCCCACCUGGGGAGUACGCCGGCAACGGUGAAACUCAAAGGAAUUGACGGGGGCCCGCACAAGCGGAGGAACAUGUGGUUUAAUUCGAUGAUACGCGAGGAACCUUACCUGGUCUUGACAUCC
rnacentral:rRNA from 1 species